GAUGAAGAACGUAGCGAAAUGCGAUAAGUAGUGUGAAUUGCAGAAUUCAGUGAAUCAUCGAAUCUUUGAACGCACAUUGCGCCUCCUGGUAUUCCGGGAGGCAUGCCUGUUCGAGCGUCAUUAAAAUCACUCAAGCUUAGGUUUACCUAUUGCUUGGUCUUGGAGAUGGAAGCCAAUUUAUUGGAAUCCUCUUCGAAAUUCAAUGGCGAAGACCCUUGCUCUCCCAAGUGUAGUAAUAACUUAUGUCACUGAAGGAAGCGAGAAAUCUUCUGCCGUAACCCCCAUAUUUUCUAUGAUUGACCUCGGAUCAGGUAGGGAUACCCGCUGAACUUAAGCAUAUCAAAAGCGGAGGA
rnacentral:misc_RNA from 1 species